CCGGAACCGCGGCCAGCGCGGAGGACUCGACCCCUGACACUGGCCGCCCCCUGUGGUCCACUUCUCCGGGUCUUCGGGACGGCCGCGGAGGAGGGCCGGGCGGUGGGCUUGGCUGCCCCAGGACCUCCGCCGGGGAAGGGUCGGGGGAGGGCGCGGGGCCGGAACCCCUAGCGGCGGCCGGCGAUGGGUGGAGGUGACAGGGACAGAGGGGAGCCCCCUGCGCCCUCCCACCCGGGUUCGCGCCCCGGGCCUGGAACCCCAGUCUUACCCUGUCCCGCCCGCCCUCCUCCCCAACAAAGACGCGCUCCCCCACUCCCGUGCCCGGCUCCCCGCGACCCAAGGAGGGUCACCGUGCGGGGCUGCCCCGCCAGCUGACCCUGCCCUGGCGGCUGCCGGGUCCCUUCCCGCGCCCACCUGCGUGGGUUCAGAAAGAUGGACGGAACCUCGCACCUGAGCGCCCAGCCCCGGCUCCGCGCGCCGUCUGCGCUCAGCGGUGUCGCCGUCCUCCCUCCUCUUACGGGGGCUGCCCUCCCUGCAGCAGCCCUGUCCCACCCCCGGGCCCAAGCACCCCGACAUUCCCGCGGGGUCACACUGGACAUCCCCUCCGGUGACAGGGCACUUAGCGGGGAAGAAGAUCUGGACAGAGGUUGGGAGACCCCUCGGAGGAGCGAGGUCAUUUUGUCACUUGGGAACGCAGGCGCCCAGACGGGACACGGCAAGGCUGUGAGGCAGCAGGAGUGGAGCCCAGGCUUCCGGACAACUCCACCCCAGGGGCCCCCGGAUCCCCACGCUCGGCCGCCGGGACUGAGCCCGACCGAGCGCGGUGACCGGGGGCACCCGCCGCCCUCUCCCCACCGCCGCCGACCGCUCAGGACGCGGAGAUUGAGGGACCCGGUCCCCAACAGCUGAGGUCGGCGAGCGGUCCAUGAGGGCCCAGCCUGAGGUCAAGAGAGGAAAAGGAAGAUUCUGGAACGAUGGACCCCUGCGGGUGGAACCCGGCCAGCUUUUCCUGGUGACAGCCAGGUCGGAAAAAAUGAGUGAAGGAAGGAAGAAAUGAACGAACCUCAAAUGAGUCCCUCAGUCCUCACUGGCGGCUGCUGCUGAGGUGGCCCCUAGCAAAGAAGCUGAGACAAGAAACAAAGAGAACUAGAGAUUUCUUUUUUUUUCUUUCUCUCUCUCUCUCUUUUUAAUAAAAAGACAGGCCCCUGUGUUUUCAGGAGGCAGCCAGAAGCAGAACUGGAGUCAGGAAACCGUCCCUGGGCCCCCUGCCACUCACCCCCAGGACCCACAGUGGGGCCUUGGGCCUAACAGCCACUGUCUUUGAAAACACCCUGAAAAGUCACAGUUCACGAAUCUGGGCGGUUAAACAAAAGAAGCCGGGAGUGAGGUUAUAGCCCCCAGCACCUGCCAGCACACAGGUCCUCAGUAAAAGUGCAUCGUGAGUGAACCCCUGCAGCUCGCCAUACUCUGAUUGGCAGCACCCUCAUUUUCCUUUUCUCAUCAUGAAAUAGCUCAAACACCCGCAUUUGACUUUUCUCAUUGUGAAAUUUUCAAACACACGCUAAACUAGGAGAGUAAUGUAAAGAGCCCAUGUGCUCAAGAACAAGCCAAUCCUAACAUCGGGCCACACUUGCUUCAAAUGUUUAAGACAUGAAUAUUGCAAUACAGUUAAAGCCCCUGGAAGCCUUCCUCAUGUCACCCCGAGUACUCUUCCAAAGCAUCCCAUUCCUGUUUUUAUACUAUUACUGCAUAUGCGUGUGUUCAUAAGUCAUACAGAAGAUUUUUACAACUUCCUGUGUGUUCCUGUUUCAUUCUGUAACCCGGUCGGUUUGUCUUGUUUUGCUCAAGAUUAUAAGAUCCAUCUGAUCAUCCAUAUAGCUCUAGUUUAUUCAUUUUAACUAUUAAAUAGCAUUCCGUUGUAUGAGUAGGG
rnacentral:lncRNA from 1 species